UACGUAGGUGGCAAGCGUUGUCCGGAAUUAUUGGGCGUAAAGCGCGCGCAGGUGGUUUCUUAAGUCUGAUGUGAAAGCCCACGGCUCAACCGUGGAGGGUCAUUGGAAACUGGGGAACUUGAGUGCAGAAGAGGAAAGUGGAAUUCCAAGUGUAGCGGUGAAAUGCGCAGAGAUUUGGAGGAACACCAGUGGCGAGGGCGACUUUCUGGUCUGUAACUGACACUGAGGCGCGAAAGCGUGGGGAGCGAACAGG
rnacentral:rRNA from 1 species